rnacentral:rRNA from 1 species
GAUGAACGCUGGCGGCGUGCUUAACACAUGCAAGUCGAACGAAGCACCUUGGAAUGCGUCGUCGGACAAAUGAAUUGGUGACUUAGUGGUGGACGGGUGAGUAACGCGUGGGUAAACUGCCUCACACAGGGGGAUAACAGUUAGAAAUGACUGCUACAACCGCAUAACAUGGCGAGACCGCAUGACAUUACCAUUAAAGAUUUAUAGGUGUGAGGUGGGCCCGCAUCUGAUUAGCUAGUUGGUAGGGUAAUGGCCUACAAAGGCGACGAUAAGUAGCCGGCUUGAGAGAGUGAACGGCCACAUUGGGACUGAGAAACGGCCCAAACUCCUACGGGAGGCAGCAGUGGGGGAUAUUGGACAAUGGGGGAAACCCUGAUCCAGCGACGCCGCGUGAGUGAAGAAGUAUUUCGGUAUGUAAAGCUCUAUCAGCAGGGAAGAAAAAUAACCAAAUUGACUGUACCUGACUAAGAAGCCCCGGCUAACUACGUGCCAGCAGCCGCAGUAAGAC